rnacentral:rRNA from 1 species
CCCUUAGAUGUUCUGGGCUGCACGCGCGCUACACUGAUGCACUCAACGAGUUUACGACCUUGUCCGAGAGGAUUGGGUAAUCUUUUUAAAAUGCAUCGUGAUGGGGAUAGAUUAUUGCAAUUAUUAAUCUUCAACGAGGAAUUCCUUGUAAUCGCGGUUUAUCAGCCCGCGUUGAAUGCGUCCCUGCCCUUUGUACACACCGCCCGUCGCUCCUACCGAUGAAUCGUCCGGUGAAGUUCAUGGAGUAGUGGUUGUUCCAUCCGCUGUCGAAGUGAAAUAAACCUCAUGAUUUAGAGGAAGGAGAAGUCGUAACA